AAGACUUUUAAUAUCAAGCCGAAGGUAGUGGGUGGCCGCGAAGCGGAGUGCGGAGGCGCCAUGGUGGGCAAGAUGCCCAACGUCACCUGGCUCGAGGGCGCCUUCAUGGAAACCAUCAAAGGGUGGCAAUCGUGGUGGUUCUACGUCACCGAGCCGCGUGACCCUGAAUGGGCAGCGGCCCCCGAAUUCAGAUCUGGCAUCCCCACACGGCUCACCUCCUGGAAAGAGAAGGGCCUGUCAUGGGGCGAUUCGGAGGAGCUGACCGGACUCCAAUCCUGUCACCAAACCCUGGUGAACAAGAAGCUCAAGCUUGUCAACGUAGUCCAGGUCAUG
rnacentral:rRNA from 1 species